CUCUUAAGUCCAAAGGUUCAUUAUAUCCCACCAAAUUUUAGCACUUUUACAAAAUUCAUGAUUAAGAUUAAAACCUUUUGAUAGAAAGCCGGGUUAAGAACAUGUUAUAAAUUAAUUUUCGCUUCAGUUGUAUGUUUCCAUAAUAGAGUAAUUCUAUAAUAUUGUUAUUCUAUUAUGGAGGAAAAUAUAACAAAAUGCUAUAAUCUUCUUUAAUUUUUAUUUUCUAUAAAAUAGUAUAACCCUUUUUUUGUAAAAUAAAUAGUAUGACUUUUAUAUAAAGUAACUUUCUUAAAGAAUUGAAGCAUUUUUCAGGUAUUCUCACAUACCUAAGUAACCAAUGGGAAGAGAACCAAUUAGGAACUUAAAUCUCUUUCAUUUGGUUUUGGAAUACGUGAAAAUGCUUCAAUUCUUUAAGCAUGUUGAGAUUUUUUCAAAAAUACCCAAGUUCCUUAGGUAUGUGACCAGUGCCGGACUAACCUUUUAUAAUGCUCCAAUCCAAAAUUUAAAAUUAUGCCAUCAUACAAAUUUUAUAAAAAUCACAAAACAGUAUUAAACAACUUAAAAUUUUACUAAAAAAAAAAUCAAAGUCCAUAGUCUAUUUAUAAAAAAUGGUGAUAUUAAGAACACUUAUCGUUGAAAUAUAGAUCUUCUUACAUUUUUUCUUACAAAAUUAUCCAUUACUUAUAUAACCAAGUCUUUCAACCACUUUCGUUUCAAUUGAUAUCAUAACGAACAUAUUUUACAUUUCUUGUUGCAUGAUAGACAAAAUAUUUUUUUCCCCAACUCCAACUUUGAAAUACUUUAUUUAGUUGUGGUGAUCGUUACCGGAAUGUUCAACAAUAUGCGUUAAGAAAUUUCUAUGUUUUGAUAACAAUCUUCAUUUUUUUUCAAAAAAUUGAACACUUCAAUAGGUUUUCGAACUUGUUUGGAUAUUGAUUUUCGAAGAAUCCUUCCAUAAAAAAAACCAUCACAGCUCUGUCUGAAUGCGUACCACUCCUUUAAAAAUUUCUAAAUUCAAGAAUAAUGCCAUCAAUGUAUAUUUCACUUGCAUUUGUUACUUUUUUUUAAGUAAAAGAAAAUCCAAAAAAAAUUCAUAUCUUUGGAAUUAUUCAAAUCUGGAUUAAAUGGAACUAGAACCUUUUUUUUUUUGUAAAUUGGCAUUCAUAUUAAAAACAGGAGAAAGAAAAAUAUUACAUGCCUAAGAAGGCAAUAGUUUUAGAAGGACAAGACCCAGUUAUAAAAGGAAAACACAUAUCAAUGGAACUUUCCGGCCCACUCCACAUAGAAGCAAACCAGUAGAGAAUGAGCAGGCACAGUAGUCUGAUUGAGAAGGGGAAGCGGAGCGUCGAUGGAAAUUAAGAACGAAGAAACCAAAAUUGCAUCAUCGCAGAGGAGGCUCGUGGGUUGGAGUGACGGAGGCCCUCAAGUCUGUUCCGGAUCUGCUUAUCGAUGGCAGAGAAGAGCACAUCUGCUGAUCUGAAGGUGCGCUGGUGGAGCCUCAAGUUUCUCUCUUGCCAAAUCCAGUAGAUGGAGGCUUGGACAGCAAGAAGAGUUAGUCGGCGAAGGUCUUUGUUGCGCGGGGGGAGUGAGAAGUUGCAUGGUAGUGUCCUCCCAAGUUGGAGUCAGCUGGAGUUGGCAGCGAUGAGUGAUCAACCUCCAAAUCAGAGCACUGUAAGAGCAUUCAAAAUACAAGUGGUUCCUCGAUUCAUCUGCAGAGUUACAGAGUAGACAUUUAGAAUCAACAUUUAGCCCCCACUGAAUCAGACGAUUCCUUGUAGGGCAACGAUCAAGACGAUUUGAGACCAGGGAACAUUGGGGAUCACGCCUUUUAAGUAAGUGUAGACCUGUCCAGUGCUAUACCGAGAGUUUAUCUGCCCUUGAAUUAUCCACUCAUAAGCAUCCUGCUCCUCUGUGAGAGUAACUGUGGUGAGAUGAAUCUGGAGUGCUAAUUGGGUCUCUGACCUUGCUCUGACCUUGCUUGAGAGAGUAACCAACGACCCCGAUCAUAGAGUGAGGCUACUGUAGCAGCUCUUGAGAUGCCAUACCUUGAAGUCGCCGCAUCAAGGUAGUUAAAGAGGUUCCCAAACGGUGACCAGUUAUCAUACCAGAAACGUGUUGUCUCACCGUUACCUAUCGUUCUCCUGAGUAGCGGGACACCCAGACAUAGUUUGGACGAAAGAAAAUCAUCCACACCAGCUUAAGAAUGCACGCCAAAUUCCAAGUAUGAAGAUCUUUGACACCUAGGCCUCCCUGAUCCUUGGCUUUUGGCAGAAUGAAACUUGAGCACCAGAACUUUGAAACUCCAGCGAUGACUGUCUUUAUAAGUAGGAGCCUGCCCGCAAAAGAGUGUGACUUUUCAUACCAAGAAGAGAACCGCGCAGAGGAGGACUCCCAAGUAGAGCAUUGGAAGAGUGCCGCAAGGCAUACCGGUUGAGACUUGUAUAGCAGAGACCUCUGCUUCCUAGAGGCCGGAUGCAAAGAAACUCGAUUUUUGGAUGCUGACCGCUAGUCCUAAGCGAACCUCGAAGUCAUGGAGAAUGGAGAGGACCUUCUGCACCGAUUCAAUAGAGCCAUCUAUGAAUAUCAGCAAGUCAUCCGCAAAAGAGAGAUGGGUCAACUUCGUCUUGUGGCACUGAUGAUGAUAGGAGAGACUUCCUGAUCUGGCCUCCUUAUCUAGCAACAUGGACAGACAGUUCAUAGCGAUCACAAAAAGGUAUGGGGAAAGAGGGUCACCUUGCCUCAGACCUCUUUUUCCUUUAAAAUAACCGUUUACCGUUCCAUUAUAACUCACUGUAAAUGUAGUUGUGCAGACACAGCCUCUGACCAAGCGUAAGAAAGCAGGAGGGAGAUCGUAUCUUUCCAACGCAGAGAAGAGAAAAUCCCAAGAUAAGGUGUCGAACGCCUUAGCAAUGUCGACCUUAAUGUCUCCCCUCAAUAAAGGCAGCUGAUUUGGAAGAAUAAGGUCCUGCAAAAUAGGCUUUAGGCGCUUCACCAAUAAUCUGGAGAUUACCUUGUAGAUGGUAUUGAGACAAGCUAUCGGACGGUAUUCAGUGAUGCCCGAAGCUCCAGGAAAUUUUGGCACUAGUGAGAGGAUUGUGGAGUUGGCUGAUUUGGGAAGGAAGCCUGACUUGAAGAAAUGCUGGAUGGAAUUGACACACUCUGAACCAAGCUAAGUCCAUGUAGCCUUGUAAAAAGCUGAGGUGAGGCCAUCAGGUCCGGGAGCUUUUUUGGGUUGAGGGAGAACAUCAGUUUAGCAAUCUCAUCAGAAGUUGGCAUCAACAGGAUUUUCUCUUUCUGUGGGGGAGAGCAGAUAAAGUUUGAUAAGCUCUGAAACCACAAGGUAGUGGAGGAGAUGAGCAGAGGCAGAGCACCAUCUGGUCCUAGUACCGCUUUGAAAUGAUUAAUUGCGUGAUCACUCAUCUGCAUAGUUUCUAUGAUAAUGACACCCGAGCUCAGGAUAAACGAUCUGAUGGCAUUGAAGCUUGCACACACUUGACAAACCCUCUUAAAGUAAGUAGUGUUUUGAUCACCCUCUAGCAGGCAGUGGAUUCGAGAUUUUUGCUUGUAAAAACUCUCUUCUAUCUGUCUUAGUAGUUGCCAUUUCUGGUUCAGUAGGAGCUCAGCUUCAAAUGUUUCCACAAGAGCCUGAACCUGCGCAAGUUGUAACAAACCAUGAGUUUCUCUUACUCUCUGUUGGAUAUUUGAAAACUCUCUAUUUAGUGAUUUUAAAUUUCUCUUUAUGCUUUUAAGUUUCCAACACAGAGAAGUAAGGUUUCCAGACACGCCUCCAGCUUGAAACCAUGCGUCAGUAACUACCUCCAGGAAGUUCGGGUGUUUAGUUAGGUAGUUUAGGAAUUUAUAAGGUUGGGUACCAGAUUUUGGAAGGGGGAAGGCUAGGUCAAUUAGGCAGGGGGCAUGAUCUGGGGGAACAGGUGGAAGGAAGGAGGCAGAGGCAUGGGGAAAAGUUGCGAGUACAGCAUUGUUGACUAAGCAUCUGUCCAGUUUCUUUGCAACAGGGGUAAGGUGUCUUUUGUUAGACCAAGUAUGGAUCGGGCCUUGGAAUCUGAGGUCAAAUGCACCUAUCUGGUGGAGGCAGUCCCUAAGUUGGAACAUACGGGAGGAGUGAGUGUUGUGAUUGAAUGCAGAGUGGUUGCCACUGAAGAGUAUUUGGUUAAAAUCUCCACCGAUGAAGGCUUUAGUUCUUAGCUUAUUCAAAAAUUAUUUUCAUCAUUUAUUACAUAGGGUAAUCACAAUGUGUUGUUAUUUUUAUUAGUGUGUUUAGAUUGAUAGAUAGAAUGUCCAAAAUCUAUCUACCAUAAUUAAAAACAAUGCCCAAAAAGAAUAUUGUCCAAAGAGAGUAAGAAAUUUUAGUGUAGUUGAAAAAAAUAAAGCAUCAAGAUCUUUGACAAGAAAUUAUCAAUGUGAUCCAGCAAAUAUCAAUGUAUUUGACCAAAGAAAAAGAAUUGCAGAUCCGAACUCAAUCAAUGUGGCUAGUCUCUAGACAGUAUAAAUAUAAUCUCAUUUGGACAACUUAACUCCAAAUAUCACCAAGACUGCUCAUAUCAAAACCUUUAGUCUUGUAUUUAAUUUAGAGUGGAAAGACUAUGAAACUCUUCACUAUCUCCAUGAUGACCAUUAUGGCCAUAUCAAUAGUGCUUGCCCAAGUACCAUCCACUACUGAAUCAAAACCCACAGACAAUCAAAAUCAUUUCAAAGCGACGUCUUUGAAUAAUUUUAUGUCCACGGUACCAGUUGCACACAGUGUCGAAGGUCAUAAGGAAGGUAUAAAUGUUCAAGCAAAACUAUUGAAAGAUGUUGAAGCUUUUCGCCCUACAGUACCAGGGAACAGUCCUGGCAUUGGACAUCCACCACGGCUCAGUGAUGACUUCAAGUAGUAAGGAAAUUGAAGAAAAAGGACUAGUUCAAAUAAUAUUUUAUG